UGACCCAGGCCAGCCAUAGGGUUUUUAUCCAUGUGUAGACAUGCCCUGAGUGGAGACACAUGAUCCCUUAGACCUCUAUGCAAUAGAAACAAAGAGUCUAGGGGUUUCCAGAAUGGCUUAGUCUUGUCUAAGUAAAAGGCUAAUGCUCACAAUAUCUAGUGUAUGAAAAGCAGACUCUUGUGUAGGCUUAUGCAGCUUAGGAAAAAAACCCGGAAAGUAAAUAGUUUGGUUGAUAUGAAAUUCAGAGGACACCUUAGAUAAGAUCUUUGGAUGAGGUUGUAAAGAUACCUUCUCCUUGGAAAACAAAGCAAAAGGAGGGUGGCCAUUAGAGCCUCCCAUCUCCCCAACUCUUUGAAUAGAAGUGGUGAGCACCAAGACGACUAACUUCGUAGACAGAUGUAGCAGCAAUCAUGUAGCUAAUGGCUCAAAGAGUUGUUUCAAGGGCCUAGUUAAGAACUAGGCUGAAAAUCCCAAAAUGGUGUUGGGGCUCUAAUCUGCAGAAAAAGUCCUUUUAGGAAUCUUGUGGUGGUCGGAUGAGCGAAUUCUAAGAAACCUUCUACUGCCAUAUGGAAAGCUAUCAUUACCACUAAAUGAACCUUGAUGGAACUCAUAGAAAGGCCUGAAUUUUUCAGUUCCAACAGGUAAUCAAAGACUGAGGAAAGAGAUGUCUGGAUAGGAGAAAGAUGGCACCAGUUACACCAAAGAUGAACAUGUGGUCUCUAGUCCCAAGAACCAUUGAGGAAUCAAGCUUGUAGUUGCAGGAUGUUCAGAUUAGGAUGGAGCACCUGACCUGCAUUCUGAGACAACAGUCAAGGUUUGUUCAGGAGCUGCCACAGAGGGCAAGAGAUUGAUGUGCAAGCACUGUUCCUGUUGUGACCAUUUGUCUUGGACUGUGUGAGGACCCCAAUGUGCUCCCCAUCCCAAAAGGGAAGCAUUCAACAUUACUAUGACUGUAGGGGAUUCUGGAUGAGCAGGAUUCCUGCACAAACUUUGGAUGGAUUCAGCCACCAGAUGACUGACUGCAAGACCUGAUUGGGCACAGAUACUUGCUUGUUAAUACUGUUUGUUGGGUACACAAACAGUCCUGAGCCACCCCUGGAGAUACUGAAGAUACAAACUGCUGCUUUGUGUUACAAAAACGCAAGCUACCAUACAUAACAGCAGUUGCAGACAUGUCCUUGCUGGAACUUGAGGGAUGAGCUGCACUCUUGCACACGGUUCUUUAGAGCAAGGAACUUGUCAAGAGGGAGAUAAACUCUCUCUUCCCAUUAUCGAAUCCAGAAGUGCUCCGAUAAAGAGAAUUCGUUGUACAGAGGUCAAGAUAGAUUUCUUGAGAUUUAUUUGCAGGCCUAGCCUUCAGAAUAGUGACGUCGUUGUUUGGACAGCAAACCUAACUCCUGAUAUGACCAAACCUUGAGGAACCAGUUGUCAAGGCAGGGAAAGACAGUUAUCCCUAUAUGACGGAGGUAGGCAGCUACGACAGCCAUGAUUUUUAAGAACACCCUUGGGGCGGAUAACAGGCCAAAAAGUGUAGAACCUGUUAAUGAUUGUGAUUGAAAGUGAAACAAAGAAAUCUUUUGUGAGAAUGCUGAAUCAUUACGUGGAAGUAGGCAUCUUUGAGGUUGUGGCUCACAAACCAGUCCCCUAAUUCCAGGGAGGGAAUUAUAGCUGCUAGGGACAUGAUCCUGAAUUUCAGAUGUCUGACAUGCUUGUUCCAUUGUCUGAGAUGUAGUAUCUGCCACCAACCUAUUCUUCUUUGGUAUCAGAAAAUAUCUUGAAUAGAACCCUUUUCCCCUGUGUCGAAACUCUAUGGUUCCUAGACUUACAAGUGAUGAGAUCUCCUGUGUCAGCAAUUGCUCAUGAGAGGAGCCCCUGAAGGGGGAAAAGGAAGGGUGGGGUGGAGGUAAACUUGAUAGUACAGACAAAGUAAUGGCCUCCAAUACCCAUUUGUCCAAUGUUAUAGUCUCCUGUACUUGAUGAAAGAGAGAGGUGGUAUUCAAAUUGAGGAAGAAGAGAUGUGUCCAGCAGUUGAUAAAACCUGGUCAUUGGAUGGUCUGGACUCUUGACCAAACCAUCAAAAAUGGUGUUUGAAUGAUGCUGAAGGCUGGGAUGAAGCAGUCUAGGUAGUUGCAGACUUUUUCUUUGAAAACCUCAACCUCUUGGUCAGCGUUUCUGGUGGCCUGCAGAAGGCAGAAAAUUGAGCAGAUUGGGAUCUUUGUAUUGACCGAGACCUGCUAAACUUCCUUAUUUUUUACAGGAGUGUAUAUCCCUAAAAACUUAAGUUUUGUCCUAGAGUGUUUUAGGGUAUGAGUUGUCUGUGGAAUCUGCGAAAAGCCUCUGGCCUUUGAAAGGUAAAUCUUUCACAGUCGAUUGUGCCUCCUGUGAAAACCUGGGACAACUGAAGCCAGGAAGCUUGCCUCAUUGGUACUGUGGUGGAAACAGACUUGGUUGCCUUGUUUGUCACAUUGAGUGAAGCUUGCAGCGAAGUUUUUGCUAAAAGCUGACCCUCCUUUAUUAUGGAGCUGAACUGUUCACGAUGUUCCUGUGGUAAAUGGUCAGUAAAAGUAUUAAAUUUCUCUUAAUUCAGGUAGUCGUAUUCUAACAUCAGCACCUGGUGGUGAGUUAUCCUGAAGUGUUGUUGAUGAAUAGCUUUUAUGACCUUUCUAGUCCUUAUUAUAAAGGGAUGGCUUUUUGGAUAUGCUGCCUACUCCUUUCAUUGGCUGCAUCCAUGAACAGAGAGUUUGGUGUAG